ensembl:lncRNA
UCAAGUGAAUCUCAUGAAAGAUCUCCAUCUGUGGAGAUAGAGACAGAAUUGAAAAGAAGAGAGACAGAAUUGAAAAGAGAGAGAGAAUGAUAUAGAAGAAAGAGAGAACUGCAUGAAAGAGCCAUGGAACUGGAUACAAAAGCAAUGAAACUGGAUGAAAGAGCGAGGAAACUGGACAGAAGAGCGAUGGAGCCGGAUUUUAGAGAAAGAGACCUGGAGAGAAGAGAAAAAGAACUGGAAUUAAGAGAGAGAGUACUGGAUAUGGGCCAUUUUCCAUACAGACAUUGAAGAUGGAUUAUAAAUAUGAUUAUACUGGAUGGAAGAGAGAUGGAACCAGAGAUGAGAGAGUACUGGAGAUAAAAGAGAGAGUACUGGAGAUGAUGCUGUUUAAACCAGAAUGGUUGAUUGAUCGUAUAGAGGAAGAAAUUAUGGAAAGAGCAAUGGAACCAGAUAUUACAGUAACGGAAAUAGAGAGAAAAGAGAAUCUACUGAAGGUAGUAGAGAGUACACACAGGAGAUAUAUGUAUGUAUUUCGAAAUAUGUAUUCCAAUAAAAGAGAAAGAGAAAUGGAACUGGAUAGAAGAGCAAAGGAACUGGAUAGAAGAGCAAUGGAGGUUGAUAGAAGAGAGAGAGAAAUCGUGAAAAGAGUGACUGAACCAGAUGUUAGAGAGAGAGAACUGGAUAGAAGAGAGAGAGAACUGGAACAGAGAACAGAAAUGAUGAUCCUGUACAGAAGACCAUUUCCCCCAUUUAUGAGAUACAGAAGAGCAAUGAAAUACAGAAGAGCAAUGGAACUGGAUAGAAGAGCAAAGGAAUUGGAUAGAAGAGCAAAGGAAUUGGAUAGAAGAGCAAAGGAACUGGAGAGAAGAGCAAAGGAACUGGAGAGAAGAGGGAUGGAACCAGAUAUUAGAGAGAGAGAAUUGGCAAGAAGAGAAAAAGAACUGGAGAAAAGAGAGAGAGAACAAUUUAUAAAUGAAAGACAGAUGGAAUUUCAUUAUAUGAUAGUUGGAGGAGACACAGCACUGGAUAGAAGAGAGAAAGAACUUGAUGGAAAGGAGAUGACUGGAGGACUGAAACCUGUGCGACAGGGCAGCAUGGAAUUACAGCCUCCUACAAUGAAUGACGAACCUCCAGGUUCUCCCUGA